UAAAGAUUCAUCGCUGAUAGAUAGGCAUGCGUUCCAUUAGGCAGUUGGCGGGGUAACGGCCCACCAAACCGACGAUGGAUAGGGGUUCUGAGAGGAAGGUCCCCCACAUUGGUACUGAGACACGGACCAAACUCCUACGGGAGGCAGCAGUGAGGAAUAUUGGUCAAUGGGCGUAAGCCUGAACCAGCCAAGUCGCGUGAGGGAUGAAGGUUCUAUGGAUCGUAAACCUCUUUUAUAAGGGAAUAAAGUGUGGGACGUGUCCUGUUUUGUAUGUACCUUAUGAAUAAGGAUCGGCUAACUCCGUGCCAGCAGCCGCGGUAAUACGGAGGAUCCGAGCGUUAUCCGGAUUUAUUGGGUUUAAAGGGUGCGUAGGCGGCCUUUUAAGUCAGCGGUGAAAGUCUGUGGCUCAACCAUAGAAUUGCCGUUGAAACUGGGAGGCUUGAGUAUGUUUGAGGCAGGCGGAAUGCGUGGUGUAGCGGUGAAAUGCUUAGAUAUCACGCAGAACCCCGAUUGCGAAGGCAGCCUGCCAAGCCAUGACUGACGCUGAUGCACGAAAGCGUGGGGAUCAAACAGGAUUAGAUACCCUGGUAGUCCACGCACU
rnacentral:rRNA from 1 species